CGUAGAAAAUAACUGCACACUCAUUAUUGUCUCCUGAGCUCACCUCUGUUCACGGAGAUCAACUGCCAUGUUACAAACUUCUGAGGCUCUGAAUUCCAAAGUACUGGAUCUAGGAAGCAAACCUGACAGUUAAAGGUAAAAGAUGAGUUGAGCGUGUUUUGUGGUUCUGAUAUUCUUCUGAACAAGCAAGAGGAGUUGACACAGGUAAAGAAUGCACAAAAUGGGUGACAAGCUGAAACUAUAACCAAAAUGGAGGUCCCUGACACCAAAGCCUGAGAAAUAGCAAUUGUAAUAAGGGUAUUUUCAAGCUUAUUUAUUUACUAUCAAAAGCAGCAA